rnacentral:RNase_P_RNA from 1 species
CUGACCGGAACAAACGAUCGCUGGGCAAGUAUUUGCCUGGAGGAAAGUCCGAACACCGCAGGACAGGACGCUCCAUAACGUGGAGUCACGGUGACGUGAAGGAAAGUGCAGCAGAGAGUAGACCGCCUGGAUGCCGGCAACGGGAUUCAGGUAAGGGUGAAACGGUGCGGUAAGAGCGCACCAGUUUUCCAGGUGACUGGAAAAGCUUGGUAAACCCCGUCCGGUGCAAGACCAAAUAGAGAAACGCUUGAGGGUUGUCCGCCCGAGUUUCCGGGUAGGUUGCAAGAGGUGUAUGGCAACAUGCAUCCUUAGAUGAAUGAUCGUUGACCUGGUUCCGGGUAACUGGUUCAGGUAACAAAAUUCGGCUUACGGGCCGGUCAGGCCG